rnacentral:tRNA from 1 species
GUGGGUGUAGCUCAGUUGGCUAGAGCACCUGACUGUGGCUCAGGUUGUCGGGGGUUCAAGUCCCCUCACCCACCCCA